rnacentral:rRNA from 1 species
GGCUUGCAUGUACGAUCCGUUUUCUUUGAGUCGCGUUGUUUGAGAAUGCAGCGCAAAGUAGGUGGUAAAUUCCAUCUAAAGCUAAAUAUUGGUGCGAGACCGAUAGCGAACAAGUACCGUGAGGGAAAGAUGAAAAGAACUCUGAAAAGAGAGUUAAAGAGUACCUGAAACUGCUGAAAGGGAACCGAAUCGUUUCUAGUGUCUAUAAUCUAUGACAUAUUCCAUUGGGAAGUGUGUGCGUGUGUAUACUAUGGCAGCGGCUUUUUUUAGUUGCGCUUGGUGUGCGUGCUGUAUGUGCUUUCUGGUGCCCUGUGUUAUAGUGUGACGUCAAGGUCAGUUUGUAUGCUGCGGGAAAUGGCUACUAGGGAGGUAGGGCUCGCGCUUGCGCUUGUCUAUUAUAUCUUGGUAGUUGUGUCGUGGUUGAGACUGAGGUGUUCUACAACGUGCUUAUGAGUGGGUCUGUGUCUCCGUGUGCGCCGUGUGCAGAUAGCUUGCUAUGUGUGUGUGGUGGUGUGUGGAUUGAUGUGGGCUUUAACUUGUCGCCGUUCGGGACUUYGACGAAAUAGAGCGAUUUGACCCGUCUUGAAACACGGACCAAGGAGUCUAACAUAUGUGCAAGUGUUAGGGUGUGGAAACCCCAGCGCGAAAUGAAAGUAAAGGAUACUGAAAAGUAUCUGAGGUAGGAAAUGCUAUGGACUUCUGUUUAUGGUGUGGCACUAUCGACCGAUCAUGAACCCUCGUGGUGAAAGAUUUGAGUUUGAGCACAUAUGUUGGUACCCGAAAGAUGGUGAACUAUGCCUGAGUAGGGUGAAGCCAGGGGAAACUCUGGUGGAAGCUCGUAGCGAUUCUGACGUGCAAAUCGAUCGUCGAACUUGGGUAUAGGGGCGAAAGACUAAUCGAACCAUCUAGUAGCUGGUUCCCUCCGAAAUUUCCCUCAGGAUAGCAGCAACUAAUUUACGAUAGUUUUAUGAGGUAAAGCGAAUGAUUAGAGGAUUCGGGGAAGAAACUUUCUCGRCCUAUUCUCAAACU